rnacentral:rRNA from 1 species
AUUGAACGCUGGCGGCAUGCCUUACACAUGCAAGUCGAACGGUAACGGGCCUUCGGGUGCCGACGAGUGGCGAACGGGUGAGUAAUGUAUCGGAACGUACCUUUCAGUGGGGGAUAACGUAGCGAAAGUUACGCUAAUACCGCAUAUUCUGUGAGCAGGAAAGCAGGGGAUCGCAAGACCCUGCGCUGAUUGAGCGGCCGAUAUCAGAUUAGCUAGUUGGUGAGGUAAAGGCUCACCAAGGCGACGAUCUAUAUCGGGUCUGAGAGGAUGAUCCGCCACACUGGAACUUAGACACGGUCCAGACUCCUACGGGAGGCAGCAGUGGGGAAUGUUGGACAAUGGGGGCAACCCUGAUCCAGCCAUGCCGCGUGAGUGAAGAAGGCCUUCGGGUUGUAAAGCUCUUUCGGCCGGGAAGAAAUCGUAUCAGCUAAUACCUGGUGCGGAUGACGGUACCGGCAUAAGAAGCACCGGCUAACUACGUGCCAGCAGCCGCGGUAACAC